GAUGAAGAACGCAGUGAAAUGCGAUAAGUAAUGCGAAUUGCAGAAUUCCAGUGAGUCAUCGAAUCUUUGAACGCACAUUGCGCCCUUUGGUAUUCCGAAGGGCAUGCCUGUUCGAGCGUCAUUAUCACCCCUCAAGCCCUCGGCUUGGUGUUGGACGGUUUGGUGGAGGCCCCCUCGGGGGUUCCUGCCCCUCCCAAAGACAAUGACGGCGGCCUCGUUGGACCCCCGGUACACUGAGUUCUUCACGGGACACGUAUCGGACACAUGGGUUUACGGGACACGGUCUGCCUCCCCUCAGGGAGAAUCUUUCUAAGGUUGACCUCGGAUCAGGUAGGGAUACCCGCUGAACUUAAGCAUAUCAAUAAGCGGAGGA
rnacentral:misc_RNA from 1 species